rnacentral:rRNA from 1 species
GACGAACGCUGGCGGCGUGCUUAACACAUGCAAGUCGAACGAUGAAGAAAAGAAUUGAAGCUUCGGCAGAAAUUCAUUUCGGAUUAGUGGCAGACGGGUGAGUAACGCGUGAGCAACCUACCUCUUACAAAGGGAUAGCCUCGGGAAACCGGGAUUAAUACCAUAUAACAUUGCGACGAAGCAUUUCGAUGCUAUCAAAGCUACGGCGGUAAGAGAUGGGCUCGCGUCCCAUUAACCAGAUGGUGAGGUAACGGCUCACCAUAGUAUCGACGGGUAAACGGCCUGAGAGGGUGAACGGUCACACUGGAACUGAGACACAGUACAGACUCCUACGGGAGGCAGCAGUGGGGAAUAUUGCACAAUGGAGUGAACGCUGAUGCAGCGACGCCGCGUGAGUGAUGAAAGAAUUCGUGUAGUAAAGCUCUGUUAUAUGGGAAGAAAAUGACUGUACCAAAGGAGAAAGCUACGGCUAAAUACGUG